UUGAAGAAUUGGCAACUAUCGAGAGAGAUUCACUUCGAUCAAUAUUCAUCAAACCCCAGUACUCUAGAGAAGAAAUUGAUGAAGUGCGUUCCGAGUGGGCAGAAUGCAUACAAGACUAUAUUUAUGACUAG